rnacentral:rRNA from 1 species
UUACGGCCAUAUCACGUUGGCACACCGGUUCCCGUACGAUCACCGAAGUUAAGCAACGUCGAGCCUGAUCUAUAUCUCGAUGAGUGACCGCUUGGGAAUACCAUGUUCUGUAA